rnacentral:rRNA from 1 species
UGGGGAAUAUUGGACAAUGGGCGCAAGCCUGAUCCAGCCAUGCCGCGUGGGUGAAGAAGGCCUUCGGGUUGUAAAGCCCUUUGUCCGGAAAGAAAAGCUCGGGGUUAAUACCCCCGGGUUCUGACGGUACCGGAAGAAUAAGCACCGGCUAACUUCGUGCCAGCAGCCGCGGUAAUACGAAGGGUGCAAGCGUUACUCGGAAUUACUGGGCGUAAAGCGUGCGUAGGUGGUCUGUUAAGUCUGAUGUGAAAGCCCUGGGCUCAACCUGGGAAUUGCAUUGGAUACUGGCAGGCUAGAGUGCGGUAGAGGAUGGCGGAAUUCCCGGUGUAGCAGUGAAAUGCGUAGAGAUCGGGAGGAACAUCCGUGGCGAAGGCGGCCAUCUGGACCAGCACUGACACUGAGGCACGAAAGCGUGGGGAGCAAACAGGAUUAGAUACCCUGGUAGUCCACGCCCUAAACGAUGCGAACUGGAUGUUGGGAGCAACUAGGCUCUCAGUAUCGAAGCUAACGCGUUAA